AUCCCUUUCUGUCUUUGGGGAAUCUGGCUAACUAGGAACAACAACCUGUUCAAUGACAAAAAGGAUAACAUUCAGAGGAUAUUAUCUCCCAGACAAUGGAAUACCACCUCAUCAUCUCUAACCACCCCCAACACUCCUUCACUACUAUCCAAGGCACUUGGAAACCCCCAAACAGAAGUAUGUUUAAACUUAACACUAAUGCUUCAGUGUGCCUUAUAACGGGGCAAAGGGGGCUAGGGGGCACCAUUAGAGACCAUAAUGGGGAAUAGAUCGUUGGCUUCAUGGAGCACAAAACCAGUACCACCCCCCAUAGAUGCAGAGCUACAUGCUCUCAGGAGGGGCCUCAACAUAGCAAUCAACCAUAAUUUAACGCCCUGCAAGUAGAAUUAGAGUCAUUGGAGGCUAUUCAAGCAUUAACUUCGGGGAACUUACUACUUGAUAAUCUUACCAUUGAUUGCAGUUCAACGCUGGAGAGGGCCCAAGCAACCAAUCCGGAGCAUGUCUUCAGGGAAGGGAACAAAGUGGCUGACCUUUUGGCCAAAACAGCUAGGAAUGAAGCAGUGCAAGGGAGCCUUGUUAUCCUACCAGUUCCUCCUUGUUUGUAUUGCGCACUAUUGAUGCAGACAAAUCAGGAACUAUGUACUUUAGGAAAUUUCGUGUCUGUAAUCUACUUUCUAAUAGCCAAGUCUUGGCUCAACACUCUUUUGAUGCCCCCGGGCAGCUUUGUAACUUAGCUACGCUAGUUUUAUUCUAAUAUAUGCUCCCUUUCA
rnacentral:lncRNA from 1 species